CCGUCAAUUCCUUUGAGUUUCACCGUUGCCGGCGUACUCCCCAGGUGGAAUACUUAACGCUUUCGCUUGGCCGCUUACUGUAUAUCGCAAACAGCGAGUAUUCAUCGUUUACUGUGUGGACUACCAGGGUAUCUAAUCCUGUUUGAUACCCACACUUUCGAGCAUCAGCGUCAGUUACAGUCCUGUGAGCUGCCUUCGCAAUUGGAGUUCUUCGUGAUAUCUAAGCAUUUCACCGCUACACCACGAAUUCCGCCCACAUUUAAUGCACUCAAGACGUCCAGUAUCAACUGCAAUUUCAAGGUUGAGCCUUAAACUUUCACAACUGACUUAAACAUCCGCCUACGCUCCCUUUAAACCCAAUAAAUCCGGAUAACGCUCGGAUCCUCCGUAUUACCGCGGC
rnacentral:misc_RNA from 1 species